GGUGAACUAUGCCUGGCCAGGACGAAGUCAGGGGAAACCCUGAAUGGAGGUCCGUAGCAAUUCUGACGUGCAAAUCGAUUGUCAGAGCUGGGUAUAGGGGCGAAAGACUAAUCGAACCAUCUAGUAGCUGGUUCCCUCCGAAGUUUCCCUCAGGAUAGCUGGCACUCUCUAGGAGUCCCAUCCGGUAAAGCGAAUGAUUAGAGGCCUUGGGGACGAAACGCCCUCAACCUAUUCUCAAACUUUAAAUGGGUGGGAUCCGCGGCUGUCUCGAAAGAUGUAGCCGCGGGCCUGGAUCGGAGAGCUAAGUGGGCCAUUUUUGGUAAGCAGAACUGGCGCUGUGGGAUGAACCAAACGCCGGGUUAAGGCGCCUAAUGAACGCUCAUCGGACACCAUGAAAGGUGUUGGUUGCUAGAGACAGCAGGACGGUGGCCAUGGAAGUCGGAAUCCGCUAAGGAGUGUGUAACAACUCACCUGCCGAAGCAACUAGCCCUGAAAAUGGAUGGCGCUGAAGCGUUCAGCCUAUACCCGGCCGCCGGUGUCAAAGUCGUCGGUGCCUCACGGCCCGGCGACUCCAUACACCGGCGAGUAGGAGGGUCGCGACGGUGUGCGCAGAAGGGUCUGGGCGCGAGCCUGCCUGGAGCCGCCGUCGGUGCAGAUCUUGGUGGUAGUAGCAUUACGGAACCUGGUUGCGGAGCCGAUAACACAGAUCCUUGUAUUAACGCGGUAACGCGAAUCACCCCAGAGACGCCGUCUGGAGCCCCGGGAAGAGUUUUCUUUUCUCGUUGAGCGUUUAGGUUCCAUGAAAUUCCCUUAACGGGGAGAUAUGGAAUAAAACGCGAAGAGCACCGCAGUUGCUGCGGUGUCCGGGGAUUCUCGUCGGCCCUUGAAAAUCUGGGUAAGGGUCACGUGGAGGAGUCGCACCAGCUCGUACCCAUAUCCGCAGCAGGUCUCCAAGGUCCAGAGCCUCU
rnacentral:rRNA from 1 species